GGUAGCGUGGCCGAGCGGUCUAAGGCGCUGGAUUAAGGCUACAGUCUCUUUGCAGGGCGUGGGUUCGAAUCCCACCGCUGCCA